AGUGAACGCUGGCGGUAGGCCUAACACAUGCAAGUCGAACGGCAGCACAGGAGAGCUUGCUCUCUGGGUGGCGAGUGGCGGACGGGUGAGGAAUACAUCGGAAUCUGCCCAGUCGUGGGGGAUAACGUAGGGAAACUUAUGCUAAUACCGCAUACGACCUUCGGGUGAAAGAGGGGGAUCGCAAGACCUCUCGCGAUUGGAUGAGCCGAUGUCGGAUUAGCUAGUUGGCGGGGUAAUGGCCCACCAAGGCGACGAUCCGUAGCUGGUCUGAGAGGAUGAUCAGCCACACUGGAACUGAGACACGGUCCAGACUCCUACGGGAGGCAGCAGUGGGGAAUAUUGGACAAUGGGCGCAAGCCUGAUCCAGCCAUACCGCGUGGGUGAAGAAGGCCUUCGGGUUGUAAAGCCCUUUUGUUGGGAAAGAAAUCUUUCAGGCUAAUACCCUGGGAGGAUGACGGUACCCAAAGAAUAAGCACCGGCUAACUUCGU
rnacentral:rRNA from 1 species